ensembl:lncRNA
CAAAGGUCACCAGACUCAUCACCUUGUUUUGGGUAUCAUUGUGGACUGAUUUUAAUUCUCUAAUGAGCAUUUAAACUGGACUAAGUUCCAAAAACAUUGGGUGAAGCAUUCAACCAGAAUUGAAAUGAAUCCUCUCUCUUGGAAAGAAGGGUAAUUGGAAGUGUUCAAAGUUUUUGGAACAGCAAUUGACUGGAAAGAAGAGGGGAGCAUGUUGUCAGUCCAGAUGCUGAAGAAUUAAUUUUGUGUUCUGGUGUCUCAGACAAUGGGAAGAUUUCCAUUACAAGUAGAAGAGAAGAGGAGACCUUCAGAAAGGGACCAAACUUCUAACAAAAACUGAGGACUUACAAUGACAACAUACAACCUGGCAGCUGGAAAAGUCCAGAUCAGUUCAGAUUGCAUUCCCCGCCGGCUGAGAGAAAACGGAGGAGUUUACAGAUUGAGUGUUUGUGGCAGGGAUGUUUUCUUUCUCCUUGCCCAGAUGCAGCUGAUUAGAUCAGAGUGCAAGCAGAAGAAAGGGAGCACAUCUCGCCUGACCUUGUCAUCCUAAGUGGUUGUGGCAUUUCUAAGAACACUCACCCCACUCUUUCUCUUCAUCUCUAGCUGCAUUCACUUUGUUUCACAAAAAGUUCCUGCAACAGUAAAUGAAAACAAGAAAAAGAAUUCCUAGGAAGGAGACCCCAAACAACCAUUAUUAAUAUAACAGGUAUAUCAUCACGGAAUCACAGAAUAUUUGAAGUUGGAAAGGACCCAUAAAGAUAAUUGUCCAGACAUUUAUUGAACUCUGCUUGCUCUGGGCUGUGACCACUGCCUAGGGGAGCGUGUUCCAGUGCCCAUCAACUGUCUUAGUGAAGAACCUUCUUCUGAUAUCCAACCUGAACUUCCACUGUGACAGUUUCAUGGCAUUCACUGAAGUUUUAUCACUGGUCAAUAUUAGUAUUAAAGACUGUAUUUAGUUGCACAAAGAAAGUGAACAAGAAAAUUCAGGCAAAUUCUAAAUUUUCCUGGUAUGCAGAAGGCACUGAAGUUUCAG